rnacentral:rRNA from 1 species
AUCUUCGGAUAUGAGUAGAGCGGCGGACGGGUGAGUAACGCGUAGGAAUUUACCUAGUAGAAGGGGAUAGCCCGGGGAAACCCGGAUUAAUACCGUAUACCUCCUUCGGGAGAAAGAAGGCCUCUCUUUGAAGCUUUCGCUACUAGAUGAGCCUGCGUAAGAUUAGCUUGUUGGUGAGGUAAAGGCUCACCAAGGCGACGAUCUUUAGCUGGUCUGAGAGGACGAUCAGCCACAUUGGGACUGAGACACGGCCCAGACUCCUACGGGAGGCAGCAGUGGGGAAUAUUGGACAAUGGGCGCAAGCCUGAUCCAGCCAUACCGCGUGUGUGAAGAAGGCCUUCGGGUUGUAAAGCACUUUAAGCAGGGAGAAAAAGUUAUAAGUUAAUACCUUAUAACCCUGAUGUUACCUGCAGAAUAAGCACCGGCUAAUUCCGUGCCAGCAGCCGCGGUAAUACGGAAGGUGCAAGCGUUAAUCGGAAUUACUGGGCGUAAAGCGCGCGUAGGUGGUUUGUUAAGUUGGAUGUGAAAGCCCUGGGCUCAACCUAGGAACUGCAUCCAAAACUAACUCACUAGAGUACGAUAGAGGGAGGUAGAAUUCAUAGUGUAGCGGUGGAAUGCGUAGAUAUUAUGAAGAAUACCAGUGGCGAAGGCGGCCUCCUGGAUCUGUACUGACACUGAGGUGCGAAAGCGUGGGUAGCGAACAGGAUUAGAUACCCUGGUAGUCCACGCCGUAAACGAUGACAACUAGCUGUUGGGAGACUAUGUCUUUCAGUGGCGCAGCUAACGCUUUAAGUUGUCCGCCUGGGGAGUACGGCCGCAAGGCUAAAACUCAAAUGAAUUGACGGGGACCCGCACAAGCGGUGGAGCAUGUGGUUUAAUUCGAUGCAACGCGAAAACCUUACCUACUCUUGACAUACUUGGAGGCUCUUGUAAUGAGAGUGUGCCUUUUGGACCAAGAUACAGGUGCUGCAUGGCUGUCGUCAGCU